GGACAACACCCUGUUCAAGCUACACAUAGAGGAGCCGUGAGCAACUCUCUGAUGCUGUGUAUCCUAAAGUUGGCUUCCCAGAUGCCACUGGAGAACACCACGGUUCAGCAGAUGGUUUUUAUGCUUCUUUCAAACCUGGCCUUGUCGCAUGACUGUAAAGGAGUAAUUCAGAAGAGUAACUUCUUACAGAACUUCCUCUCUCUAGCAUUGCCAAAAGGAGGAAAUAAACAUCUAAGUAAUCUGACUAUUCUUUGGUUGAAGUUACUCCUGAAUAUAUCAUCUGGAGAAGAUGGGCAACAAAUGAUUCUGAGGCUUGAUGGCUGUCUAGACUUACUAACAGAGAUGAGCAAAUACAAGCACAAGAGCAGCCCUUUAUUGCCUCUUCUUAUCUUUCAUAAUGUUUGCUUCAGUCCUGCUAAUAAACCCAAGAUCCUGGCUAAUGAAAAAGUCAUUACUGUGCUUGCUGCCUGUCUGGAAAGUGAGAAUCAAAAUGCUCAGAGGAUUGGAGCAGCUGCCCUUUGGGCUCUGAUUUACAAUUAUCAGAAGGUCAGUUUUAAAAAUCAUUGUUACACCUGGGGAGCAAACAACAAGGUAUAACCCAGGUAUAAACUCUUAGGAUACGUCCAAAGGUGUCAAGAGUUAUAGCAAAAGGAAAAAGACAAAAUCAAAGACCCACGUUCCCUUUGCUGAUUCAUACAAUUAGUAAACCAUCAGUUGAAAUCUUUGUAUUUAAUCAUUUCAACAGAAUGUCUCAGUUUAGAAGAGAAUCUCUGAACUGACUUUUUCCUCUUAAUUUAAAUUGAUUUACUUUAUUAUUGCAAUUUUAGUAUAGAUUGUUUCUUCUAAAAGACGUAUCAAGGGAAAACACAUCUUAAAGUAAAACCGAGUAACAAAAGUUUUAUCCAAUUGUACAGUUCCCCUUUAUCUAGCUCAGUUCUUGUACGACUGCAGCCCAAAGCCUGCUCUGAGAAAAGGGCAGGCAACGUGGAGAUUUGUGUUCUACUCUUUCUCUGGCCUUUGGACUUCCACUUUAUUGCAGACAUGUCGUUCCCAAGAGAAAUACCCAUAAGUAUCUAGUGAUUAAGUAGUAGCCAAGUGACAGUGUUAGGAUAGACAGCCAUCCUAGAAUGGUGUUCUCUCAGCUGACUGUCUCUGCCGGGGCUAGUUUUCUCCCUGCUGGCCAGAGUCACGUACACAAGGACAAGAGGGUGUUGUUUUCUUUCUCACCUGGGUAUCCCCAGAGCUUAGCACAGGAUUUGGCACUUUGUAGUCACUCUGUAAAUAUUUGUUGACCAACUGCUAAUAUUUGGUAUAUGUGAUCAGAAAUCUGAGGUUCGAGGGAAUAUGAAAAACUGAAACCAAGGAUGACUCGUUUAAAAUAGCAAAUUGAGAUUAGGGGAGAAGGAGUAAAAGAGAAGGGAAGAAAGAAAAUGGGAAUAGAGAAAGAAUCAAGUUAGAUAAGAGGAUAUGGGCAAGACUUCAGAAUGUGCAAGGGGAUUGGCUCAAUAGGAUGUAUUAUGCUAGGAUGGAACUCUCUAGUUAUAUUAUUAUAUUUCAUAAUAUUCUGUUUAAUACUGUAGUUAGCAAUGGGCAGAAUUGGUGUUUUGCUAUCAUGAUCCAUAACACAUGGCAAGAAACCUAAUUAAUGGAUUGUUCUAGGCAAAAACAGCUUUGAAAAGCCCAUCAGUAAAAAGAAGAGUGGAUGAAGCAUACUCCUUAGCAAAGAAAACUUUCCCAAACUCAGAAGCAAACCCUCUAAAUGCCUAUUAUUUGAAAUGUCUUGAAAACCUCGUGCAGCUCCUUAAUUCUUCCUGAGUGCCAUGGGAUGCUACACCUUGAAGCUGACAGUCAUCAACAGGGGAGCUAAAGUUGAAGCCAGCUGUGUGUAGCAGCUGUUACCUGAAGACAUGCUACCUCUCUACAAAGUGUUGAUCCCCUUCUUUCCCAUGAGAGAGAGAACUGGUGAUACUCCAACACCGUCCAGUUGUGGCAGCUCUCCAGAAGUAAUAGCAGCUGACAACUUUCUGUGCCUUUUCCUUUCUGUUGAAAAGGCAUAGAAAGUUCUGGGAACAUAAACAUUUUUACCCUUUUCUAUGCCAUUUAUUUUGUAAAAAUCCUAUUUAACAGUUAUUUAAU
rnacentral:sRNA from 1 species